rnacentral:tRNA from 1 species
GUCUGAGUGGCUCAGUCGGUUAAGCGUCUGACUUCAGCUCAGGUCACCAUCUCACGGUUCGUGGGUUCGAGCCCCGCGUCGGGCU